rnacentral:rRNA from 1 species
GGGGAUUUCGCUACUAGAUGAGCCUAUGUCAGAUUAGCUAGUUGGUGGGGUAAUGGCCCACCAAGGCUGUGAUCUGUAGCUGGUCUGAGAGGAUGAUCAGCCACACUGGAACUGAGACACGGUCCAGACUCCUACGGGAGGCAGCAGUGGGGAAUAUUGGACAAUGGGCGCAAGCCUGAUCCAGCUAUGCCGCGUGAGUGAGGAAGGCCUUAGGGUUGUAAAACUCUUUCAG